ensembl:lncRNA
GCUGCAUUUAACGAGGUUCUGCGUCAACUUCAUGAUAUUGAGGGCACUCGCUAUGGAAUACUUCAUCCAGCUCGGCUUCGCAUUACAUAUAACGGUGUUCAGAAGGACUUUAUUUCAGCGGAGGAAGCAGGGGACUAUGUUAAACUCUUGAUAUCGGGGUGAACUACAUCACUGUCACAAGUUCCCCUUUAAGCUGUGGAGCAUGUGAGCGUGCGUGCACAAGCAGGUGCAAGAACACCUGCUUUUCCCUUGUGGACAAUCGUGACAUUUCUACACGUGCAUUUGUUUAUGUUUCUGUUAUGUCUCCUCCCCGUUCUGUCAUUGGCUAUUGUUUCAUAUGUGUCUGAAUCGCCCUCAGCCGUCAGCCAUGAGUUAAUGAGGUGAACAGUGCUGAUCUUCCAUUCCACAUGCAUUAUGAGCGGAUGAGCCACCAAGUUGAUGUUAACACGGACAACCAAGUCCCUGAGGUCCAAGUCAAGUCUCAAGUUUCUGAAAUCCAAGUCAAGCCUCAAGUCCCUGAGGUCCAAGUCAAGUCUCCAGUCUCUGAAAUCCAAGUCAAGUCUCAAGUCCCUGAGGUCCAAGUCCAAGUCAAGUCUCAAGUCCCUGAGGUCCAAGUCAAGUCUCCAGUCUCUGAAAUCCAAGUCAAGUCUCAAGUCCCUGAGGUCCAAGUCAAGUCUCCAGUCUCUGAAAUCCAAGUCAAGUCUCAAGUCCCUGAGAUCCAAGUCCAAGUCAAGUCUCAAGUCCCUGAGGUCCAAGUCAAGUCUCCAGUCUCUGAAAUCCAAGUCAAGUCUCAAGUCCCUGAGGUCCAAGUCCAAGUCAAGUAUCAAGUCCCUGAGGUCCAAGUCAAGUCUCCAGUCUCUGAAAUCCAAGUCCAAGUCAAGUCUCAAGUCCCUGAGGUCCAAGUCCAAGUCAAGUAUCAAGUCCCUGAGGUCCAAGUCAAGUCUCCAGUCUCUGAAAUCCAAGUCAAGUCUCAAAUCCCUGAGGUCCAAGUCCAAGUCAAGUCUCAAGUCCCUGAGGUCCAAGUCAAGUCUACAGUCUCUGAAGUCCAAGUCAAGUCUCAAGUGCCUGAUGUCACACCCAAGUUU